UACGUAGGUGACCAGCGUUGUCCGGAUUUACUGGGCGUAAAGAGCGCGCAGGCGGUCGUUCAAGUCGAGUGUGAAAGCCCCCGGCUCAACUGGGGAGGGUCAUUCGAUACUGAUCGACUGGAAGGCAGGAGAGGGAAGCGGAAUUCCCGGUGUAGUGGUGAAAUGCGCAGAUAUCGGGAGGAACACCAGGAGCGAAGGCGGCUCGCUGGGCCACACCUGACGCUGAGACGCGAAAGCUAGGGGAGCGAACAGG
rnacentral:rRNA from 1 species